UCCGGUAGCGAGUAGUGGUGUAGAAAGGGGUUCUUUCGAUUUGAACCAGAUCGGUAAUGGUGUCAAAAUCAUCGAAGGGGGAGGUAAGAUCAAGGAGGGUGGUGGGUGAGUAAGGCUUGGGGGAGAGGAGAUCGAGGGUGCAGUCGAGUUCAUCUUCAAUGUGGAGGUAGUGGGGGUUUAGGAGUAGGGUUUUGGGGGUGAAAAAUGAGGAUUCUUGGAGAAAGAAAGAAGAAGGGGAGUAGUCGAUAAGGUCAAAUCUCCUGAAACGGCUCAUUUUCGCUUGAAUCUAGCAAC
rnacentral:lncRNA from 1 species